rnacentral:tRNA from 3 species
ACACACGUAGCUCAACUGGAUAGAGCACCGGUCUUCCAAACUGGAGGUUGUGGGUUCGAGUCCCACCGGGUGAC